rnacentral:rRNA from 1 species
UCAAUAAGCGGAGGAAAAGAAACUAACAAGGAUUCCCCUAGUAACUGCGAGUGAAGCGGGAAAAGCUCAAAUUUAAAAUCUGGCAGCCUUUGGCCGUCCGAGUUGUAAUUUAGAGAAGCGUCUUCCGCGCUGGACCGUGCACAAGUCUCCUGGAAUGGAGCGUCAUAGAGGGUGAGAAUCCCGUCUUUGGCACGGAUGCCUGGUGCUUCUGUGAUGCGCUCUCGAAGAGUCGAGUUGUUUGGGAAUGCAGCUCAAAAUGGGUGGUGAACUCCAUCUAAAGCUAAAUAUUGGCGAGAGACCGAUAGCGAACAAGUACCGUGAGGGAAAGAUGAAAAGCACUUUGGAAAGAGAGUGAAACAGUACGUGAAAUUGUUGAAAGGGAAACGCUUGAAGUCAGUCGCGUCGACCGAGACUCAGCCUUGCCUUGGCUUGGUGUACUUCUCGGCCUGACGGGUCAGCAUCAAUUUUGCCCUUUGGAUAAUGGCAGGGGAAAGGUGGCACCUUUACGGGUGUGUUAUAGUCUCUUGUCGCAUGCGAGGGGUGGGAUUGAGGAACUCAGCGCGCACCUCAGUGUCGGGGCUUCGGCCCACGUCACGCGCUUAGGAUGCUGGCGUAAUGGCUUUAAACGACCCGUCUUGAAACAC